rnacentral:rRNA from 1 species
UAAAUACUCCCUAGUGACCGAUAGUGAACCAGUACCGUGAGGGAAAGGUGAAAAGCACCCCGGAAGGGGAGUGAAACAGUUCCUGAAACCGUGUGCCUACAAGUAGUUAGAGCCCGUUAAUGGGUGAUAGCGUGCCUUUUGUAGAAUGAACCGGCGAGUUACGAUUUGUUGCAAGGUUAAGCGGAAAAAGCGGAGCCGUAGCGAAAGCGAGUCUGAAUAGGGCGCAUAAGUAACAGGUCGUAGACCCGAAACCAGGUGAUCUACCCAUGUCCAGGAUGAAGGUAAGGUAAUACUUACUGGAGGUCCGAACCCACGCACGUUGAAAAGUGCGGGGAUGAGGUGUGGGUAGCGGAGAAAUUCCAAUCGAACUUGGAGAUAGCUGGUUCUCUCCGAAAUAGCUUUAGGGCUAGCCUCGAGGUAAAGAGUCAUGGAGGUAGAGCACUGUUUGGACUAGGGGCCCUUCUCGGGUUACCGAAUUCAGAUAAACUCCGAAUGCCAUGUACUUAUACUCGGGAGUCAGACUGCGAGUGAUAAGAUCCGUAGUCGAAAGGGAAACAGCCCAGACCACCAGUUAAGGUCCCCAAAUAUAUGUUAAGUGGAAAAGGAUGUGGGGUUGCUUAGACAACCAGGAUGUUGGCUUAGAAGCAGCCACCAUUGAAAGAGUGCGUAAUAGCUCACUGGUCGAGUGACCCCGCGCCGAAAAUGUACCGGGGCUAAACAUAUUACCGAAACUGUGGAUGAACCUCUUUAGAGGUUCGUGGUAGGAGAGCGUUCUAAGGGCGGUGAAGUCAGACCGGAAGGACUGGUGGAGCGCUUAGAAGUGAGAAUGCCGGUAUGAGUAGCGAAAGAAGGGUGAGAAUCCCUUCCACCGAAUAUCUAAGGUUUCCUGAGGAAGGCUCGUCCGCUCAGGGUUAGUCGGGACCUAAGCCGAGGCCGAUAGGCGUAGGCGAUGGACAACAGGUAGAGAUUCCUGUACCAGUGCUAAUUGUUUAACCGAUGGGGUGACACAGAAGGAUAGGGAAUCGCACGAAUGGAAAUGUGCGUCCAAGCAGUGAGUGUGAGAAGUAGGCAAAUCCGCUUCUCGCGAAGCAUGAGCUGUGAUGGGGAAGGAAAUUAAGUACGGAAGUUCCUGAUUUCACGCUGUCAAGAAAAGCCUCUAGGAAGAGUAGUACUGCCCGUACCGCAAACCGACACAGGUAGAUGAGGAGAGAAUCCUAAGGUGAGCGAGAGAACUCUCGUUAAGGAACUCGGCAAAAUGACCCCGUAACUUCGGGAGAAGGGGUGCUCUAUUAGGGUGCAAGCCCGAGAGAGCCGCAGUGAAUAGGCCCAGGCGACUGUUUAGCAAAAACACAGGUCUCUGCAAAACCGUAAGGUGACGUAUAGGGGCUGACGCCUGCCCGGUGCUGGAAGGUUAAGAGGAGUGCUUAGCUUCGGCGAAGGUACGAAUUGAAGCCCCAGUAAACGGCGGCCGUAACUAUAACGGUCCUAAGGUAGCGAAAUUCCUUGUCGGGUAAGUUCCGACCCGCACGAAAGGCGCAACGAUCUGGGCACUGUCUCAACGAGAGACUCGGUGAAAUUAUAGU